rnacentral:rRNA from 1 species
GACGAACGCUGGCGGCGUGCCUAAUACAUGCAAGUCGAACGCAGUGGGGACGGGUGAGUAACACGUGGGUAACCUCCCAUCAGAGGGGAUAACACUUGGAAACAGGUGCUAAACCGAUACUGAUGGAUGGACCCGCGGUGCAUUAGCUAGUUGGAGCGGUAACGGCUCACCAAGGCCACGAUGCAUAUCCGAACUGAUGGGGUGUGCGGCCACACUGGUACUGAGACACGACCCAGAUUACUACGGUAGGCAGCAGUAGGGAAGCUUCGGCAAUGGAAGAAAGUCUGAACGAGCCACGCCGCGUGAGUGAAGAAGGUUUUCGGAUCGUAAAACUCUGUUGUUAGAGAAGCGGUAUCUAACCAGAAAGCCACGGCUAACUACGUGCCAGCAGCCGCGGUAAUA